CGGCGGUGACCAUCAAGCUGGCGGACAUCAAGUGCUACGGACACGUCCGCCAUUGCUUCUCCGUCACGUGGGACACGCACUCGGAGCUUGGAGUUGGACGGAUCCGGAUGAAGCUGGAGGAGGGUUCGGCGGCGGCGGCGGCGCUGCACGGCGCGGUUCUGCGCGCCCGGCUGGGGCUGCCCAGCCACGAGCUGGGGAAGGAGGACGAUGCAGGAGAAGUUGAAUGUCAAGCCGCUGGGUCCAAGUCAACCGAAAAUUGAAAUCAACCGGCCCCUCGGGCGACCGGGGAAAAGCAUUCCGUGAGGACAUUUAGCCAGAGCCGGCGUGCUGGCAAGGCCUGGCUAUGUGAAUUCAGACGAAAGCCUGCCGUGCAGGCUCACGGAGUAACAUACACGCCGGGCCACGUAGAGCUUUGCCACCUGUACAGCCACACCGGCGACGUACAACUCUAUAGCUGGCUGGCUGUGCGACGACGACGACGACGAAGAGACGGCAGUGAUGACAGCGACGACAGCCUUGACCCGAGACCACCACGACAGCCCCAAACCCCCACUUGCCUCUCCCUUAUAUUCGCCCAGCGUGGCCACGCCCACCUCUGGAACUCUCUCGCUGGUUCCAGGAGCUUCCCAGUGAAUCCCCACCUUGAGCCUUGCCCCAGUUAACGUGCCCCUUGUGGGUUCGGCCGUUGUAUGACGCACCCGCACCUCUAGUUAACCCCCACAGUCAACAGGUUUUUCUUGGUUCUUUCAGUAAAGUCGUCACGUAGAAUGGAAGUAAUAAAAUAAUAAAAAUAAAACAUUAAUUAAUUCUCACGAAUUUCGGCCACAACGCAAGCAGCCGUCCUCAGGUGAAGAGGAACA